UACGGAGGGUGCAAGCGUUAUCCGGAUUUACUGGGUUUAAAGGGUGUGUAGGCAGACAUUUAAGUCAGGGGUGAAAUCCCGAGGCUCAACCUCGGAACUGCCUUUGAUACUAUUUGUCUUGAAUGUUGUUGAGGUGGGCGGAACGGGUCAUGUAGCGGUGAAAUGCAUAGAUAUGACCCGGAACACCGAUUGCGAAGGCAGCCCGCUAAGCAACUAUUGACGCUGAGGCACGAAAGCGUGGGGAUCAAACAGG
rnacentral:rRNA from 1 species